rnacentral:sRNA from 1 species
GUGCUAGAAUUAAAGCAAAGAUCAAUGAUGUAGUUCUGAGUUAUAUGUAUGGUACAAUCACCGGUGAAAUCGAUGAAUUUGGUUUCACAUUUCAUAAUUAAUUAUUGUGAGAAUAUCGAGGUAAUGUGCUGAUUGUUUAUGGGUUAUAAACCAUAUUGGUUUGAUAAUAUUAUAAAUAUUGAUAUGGUAGAGGAUGUAGUUAUAUUAUACUUAGUUAUCUAGAAGAGAGUUAGUUUUGGUAUAUGCUGUGAAAAUUUAUUGUAAAUCAAUAUUUAUGUAUUCAUAAAUAAUAAAAUAUAAGCACUAGCACAACACCAGUAAAUAAUAU